UGAAGUGGACUCAACCAGAGAGUUGGUCCCCAAAUGCAAUGUACAAGGCUACAAACAUGUUUCCCUCCAGCAGCAAAGCUGAAUGCUUCUAUGAGCUUUUUAUUCUUCCUACCUAGAGCGAGAGAGGAUAUCAGAAUCCACAAAAAGCUACAUCUAUGCCUCUACCAACUUUGAAAAGGUACUCUUCAAGCCCAAAGGAUUCUACUGUGGGAUUAUACUUCCCCUCCGUAUAGCUUGGUACAUGCACCAUCCCCGAAGCUGUGUAAUUAUAGGGAGUAUAAUACAUGAGUUUUCUUUUCCUGAAAUUUGGUCAAGCGUAAUGAGUGCAUCAACGAUUGUGAUAAGGAUGUUGAAAGAGGUAGGGAGCUUAGGCAGAUUAAAGAUGGUAUCUAAUGCUUUCACUAGGAAGGGAACAGCUUUGCGGAAGAUGGAAGAAGUCUCGAGAGCCUAUGAACAUGUUACUGGGACUGACCAGAAAGCUCUUGCGGAGCACCGUAAACCAGCACGUUGAAGAGGCUUGAUAAGGUUGAGAGAGUCAAGAAAGAGUUGGCGCAUCAAGAGUAUUUUGAUCCCAGUAAUGGUGAGGCGGAGCGUGAGA